rnacentral:rRNA from 1 species
GGGCGUGAAACCGCUUAGAAGGAAACGGACGGAGCUGAGAAGUCGUCUGUCGUGUUCAAUGUGCGUCAGCAGUUAUGUCGUCGUACAUGCAUUCUCGAUAGAUGAGCGCUGAGACAGGUUCUUUCACCGAUAAGAGCGAAGGUGCGUCGUCCAUGGUUUCGACCAAGGUAACCUCAUCUAGCUCGUUGUCAGGUUGAAAGGACUUACUGACCGCCGUGUCUGGCAAUGUCUCGAAUGAAAGUGUGAUUUUGUGUGCAAAACUAAUUGAUUCUGCUUGCAGAGUCGGUUGCAUUCUCACAGUCUCGUGCUUUUAGAUUCGAGAGACACUAAUGGUCUUCGGCGUCCGUGUCAGCCACCCGUCUGACCCGUCUUGAAACACGGACCAAGGAGUCUAACAUACGUGCGAGUCAUUGAAUUUUAAAUUCAAAGGCGUAAUGAAAGUAAAGGUUAGUUCGGCUAGCCGAGGUGAGAUCCGCGGUGCAGAGCUGUGGCGCAUCACCGUCCCGUCCUACUCGUCAUGUCUUGAGGGCGGAGGUAGAGCAGGUAUGUUGGGACCCGAAAGAUGGUGAACUAUGCUUGAGCAGGAUGAAGCCAGAGGAAACUCUGGUGGAGGUCCGCAGCGGUUCUGACGUGCAAAUCG